rnacentral:rRNA from 1 species
AACGAACGCUGGCGGCAUGCCUAACACAUGCAAGUCGAACGAAGCCUUCGGGCUUAGUGGCGCACGGGUGCGUAACGCGUGGGAAUCUGCCCUUGGGUUCGGAAUAACAGUUAGAAAUGACUGCUAAUACCGAAUGAUGUCUUCGGACCAAAGAUUUAUCGCCCAAGGAUGAGCCCGCGUCGGAUUAGCUAGUUGGUGAGGUAAGGGCUCACCAAGGCGACGAUCCGUAGCUAGUCUGAGAGGAUGAUCAGCCACACUGGGACUGAGACACGGCCCAGACUCCUACGGGAGGCAGCAGUGGGGAAUAUUGGACAAUGGGCGAAAGCCUGAUCCAGCAAUGCCGCGUGAGUGAUGAAGGCCUUAGGGUUGUAAAGCUCUUUUACCCGGGAUGAUAAUGACAGUACCGGGAGAAUAAGCCCCGGCUAACUCCGUGCCAGCAGCCGCGGUAAU